GACGUACGCUGUCGGCGUGCUUAACACAUGCACGUCGAACGGAGUGGCGAACGGGUGAGUAACACGAGGGUGACCUUCCCUGCACUUCGGGAUAAGCCUGGGAAACUGGGUCUAAUACAGGAUAGUGUGGGAUGGGUCCGCGGCCUAUCAGCUUGUUGGUGGGGUAAUGGCAGACCAAGGCGGCGACGGGUAGCCGUCCUUCGAGGGUGGAUGGCCACAUGGGGACUGAGAGACGGCCCAGACUGCUACGGGAGGCAGCAGUGGGUGAUAUUGCACAAUGGGCGAAAGCCUGAUGCAGCGACUCCGCGUGGGGGAUGAAGGCUUUCGGGUUGUAACCCUCUUUCGCUAUCGAACGGGUAGGUGGAGAAGAAGCGCCGGCUAACUACGUGCCAGCAGCCGCGGUAAUUC
rnacentral:rRNA from 1 species